CCUACGGGUGGCUGCAGUGAGGAAUAUUGGUCAAUGGACGAGAGUCUGAACCAGCCAAGUAGCGUGAAGGAUGACUGCCCUAUGGGUUGUAAACUUCUUUUAUAUGGGAAUAAAACAGGGUAUGCAUACCCUCUUGUAUGUACCAUAUGAAUAAGGAACGGCUAACUCCGUGCCAGGAGCCGCGGUAAUACGGAGGCUACGGACGUUAUCCGGAUUUGAUGGGUUUAAACGGAGCGGAGGUGGGUUGUGAAGUCAGUUGUUAAAGUUUGCGGCUCAAACGUAAAAUUGCAGUUGAUACUGGCAGUCUGGAGUACAGGAGAGGUGGGCGGAAUUCGUGGUGUAGCGGUGAAAUGCGUAGAUAUCACGAAGAACUCCGAUUGCGAAGGCAGCUCACUGGACUGCAACUGACACUGAUGCUCGAAAGUGUGGGUAUCAAACAGGAUUAGAUACCCGAGUAGUC
rnacentral:rRNA from 1 species